rnacentral:rRNA from 1 species
UACGAGGGGGGCAAGCGUUGUUCGGAAUUAUUGGGCGUAAAGGGCGCGUAGGCGGUGCGGUAAGUCACCUGUGAAAACUCUGGGCUCAACUCAGAGCCUGCAGGCGAAACUGCCGUGCUUGAGUGUGGGAGAGGUGCGUGGAAUUCCCGGUGUAGCGGUGAAAUGCGUAGAUAUCGGGAGGAAUACCUGUGGCGAAAGCGGCGCACUGGACCACAACUGACGCUGAGGCGCGAAAGCCAGGGGAGCAAACGGG